rnacentral:rRNA from 1 species
GAUGAACGCUGGCGGCGUGCCUAAUACAUGCAAGUCGAGCGAACAGAUAAGGAGCUUGCUCCUUUGACGUUAGCGGCGGACGGGUGAGUAACACGUGGGUAACCUACCUAUAAGACGGGAAUAACUCCGGGAAACCGGGGCUAAUGCCGGAUAACAUUUAGAACCGCAUGGUUCUAAAGUGAAAGAUGGUUUUGCUAUCACUUAUAGAUGGACCCGCGCCGUAUUAGCUAGUUGGUAAGGUAACGGCUUACCAAGGCAACGAUACGUAGCCGACCUGAGAGGGUGAUCGGCCACACUGGAACUGAGACACGGUCCAGACUCCUACGGGAGGCAGCAGUAGGGAAUCUUCCGCAAUGGGCGAAAGCCUGACGGAGCAACGCCGCGUGAGUGAUGAAGGUCUUCGGAUCGUAAAACUCUGUUAUUAGGGAAGAACAAAUGUGUAAGUAACUGUGCACGUCUUGACGGUACCUAAUCAGAAAGCCACGGCUAACUACGUG